GGGGCUGUAGCUCAGUGGCUGAGUGCUUGUCUGGCAUGUAUGAGGCACUAGGUUUGAUCCUUAGCACCACA
rnacentral:tRNA from 1 species